rnacentral:rRNA from 1 species
CCCGCGUCUGAUUAGCCAGUUGGCAGGGUAACGGCCUACCAAAGCGACGAUCAGUAGCCGGCCUGAGAGGGUGAACGGCCACAUUGGGACUGAGACACGGCCCAAACUCCUACGGGAGGCAGCAUG